AUGAACGCUGGCGGCGUGCUUAAUACAUGCAAGUCGAACGAAGAGCCCUUAACCGAAGAUGAUGACGUGCUUGCACUGAAUCUGAUUCACCUUAGGGUUACUGAGUGGCGGACGGGUGAGUAACGCGUGGGUAACCUGCCUUAGACAGGGGGAUAACAUCAAGAAAUUGGUGCUAAUACCGCAUAUGCUCACAGUAUCGCAUGAUACAGUGAGGAAAACUCCGGUGGUCUAAGAUGGACCCGCGUCUGAUUAGCUAGUUGGAGGGGUAACGGCCCACCAAGGCGACGAUCAGUAGCCGACUUGAGAGAGUGAUCGGCCACAUUGGGACUGAGACACGGCCCAAACUCCUACGGGAGGCAGCAGUAGGGAAUAUUGCACAAUGGGGGAAACCCUGAUGCAGCGACGCCGCGUGAAGGAUGAAGUAUUUCGGUAUGUAAACUUCUAUCAGCAAGGAAGAAAAUGACGGUACUUGACUAAGAAGCCCCGGCUAAAUACGUGCCAGCCGCUGC
rnacentral:rRNA from 1 species